GGAAGUAAAGUCGUAACAAGGUUUCCGUAGGUGAACCUGCGGAAGGAUCAUUCAUAAUGAGUGUUUAUGGCACUUUUAAAAAAAUCCAUACCCACCUUGUGUGCAUCGUUAGUCAUGUGCCUCGUUCUCUUUCGAGAGGGCGAGGAGGCAGACUUCAAAUUAAUCUAUCUUUAACCAGUUUGUCUGAAGCAAUGUAUCGUGAAUUAACAUAAUUCUAAAAUACAACUUUCAACAACGGAUCUCUUGGCUCUC
rnacentral:misc_RNA from 1 species